UAUAUUCCCAGAACAUCAGGGGUUACUUAUCAGCGUUCCUAACAUUAUCGCCCCCUAUAACUUUCAGUUCGUGAGGAUCAUUAAAUUCAUUGCUGCACUUCAUAGAUCAUUUGUCAGUGUGCGAGCAGAACAACAAUUGCAAAAACAUUCCGAUAGUUAACGUUAUCACUUCUUUGUCGCGACCGAAUUUAAAUCUUGUCCCAAGACACACAGUUGUUUGAUUAUGUACAAGUAUAUGCGUACAUUAGGGUGCGUAUGUACAUGCAGGAGCGUGGUGCGUCUUUGACAUCGAAAUAACCGGAACGGAAUCAACGAAACCAAAAUUUCACGUAAUUGACUGUUACAAUAUCAGGACCAUAAACGCCAUUCACAUUUUCAGCCGCCAGGCUUGCGUUUUCGCCUUCAUCGAAGAAAAACUAUGAAUCUUCAAGGACUUAUGGUUGUCACCGCAAGGACCCGUUUUUGGAACUGGGAACUGGUCAACACAGUGGAAAUUAAAAUUUUUAAUUUUUUAUUUUCGUGACUCCAAGUCAAAACAUUGUAUAAUAAUGCCAUAUUACUACUUUUGUAAAAUAACAUGAUUGCUAUUAAAGCAAAAAAAAAAUA